rnacentral:tRNA from 1 species
CAGGGAGACAACAAAAUGUUUAAUAUUAUUAUUUUGUCACCUUAGGUCGAUCGGUAUCUCACGUUUUUAAUUUAUUAAGAAUUUCAUUUCCUAAGUUUUUCUAGGUCACACCCAUUAUUUUCCUGGGCCAUUAGCUCAGGUGGUUAGAGCGCACCCCUGAUAAGGGUGAGGUCCCUGGUUCAAGUCCAGGAUGGCCCAUAUCUCUAUGUUGGGGGUAUAGCUCAGUUGGUAGAGCGCCUGCUUUGCAAGCAGGAUGUCAGCGGUUCGAGUCCGCUUACCUCCACUGAUUACCACCUCUUACAUAACUGGUAGAAAGGAAAUGUUUUGAGUUGUGAUCAAAUUCUGAAAGAAUCUAGCUUCCUAAUGAAAUCAUUAAGAUGCUGGACUCAUUGAAUUAAUUUCAUUGUUUUCAGAGAACCUUGACAACUGCAUAGAUUAUUUUUAAAGACAAUAAGCAUCUUUAAUGAUGCAGAUUUAUUAUUUGUGCGAAUGCAUUAAUAACAAUUCUAUUAAGCUGAUGCUUCAAUUUUUGAAGUUAUU